rnacentral:lncRNA from 1 species
UCAAACUUCAUGGGACAAGAAAUACCCCAAGAGUGGAGGGCAUUACCAAUCAACUUCCACCAGGAUAUUCUAGAGAAUAUCACAGCAUCUCCUAAUCCCCCUUGAUCCCCAAGCACAAUAAAAGUAGAUCCACCAAAAUCAGCAGCUCCACCUCUAAAACAGAGACAUCGACACUAGAUCUACCACACAAGUAGCAGAUCUAGCAAGAUCAGCCAAAAACCAGCCCUAAAAGACUGGAAACAAACCCUUGCAACAGCAAGGAGCAGACAAAACCUAACAAAAGUUGGGAGGAAAAACCUCUCCACAACAUAACGGGAGAGAGAGAGGCCCAGAUUAUUAACCAAAUGGGGUGGUUCCAGGGGAGAUCCCCUAGAACCAAGGAGAAAAGCAGAUCUGUGUUGGCUUUGGGUUAUGAGGAGAAGACGAGUCGAGAAGAAACGAGAGAGACAGGAUUGGAAACCAUAUGGAAUUUAGUUGAUUUGUGCUUCAAUGCAGUUCUAUCUUGAGGAUCAAGAUACAUAUAAAUUGCAAAAAACUCUUAUCAAAGUAGGCAAUCCAAC